GACCCGCCCCAAGACCCGCCUAACCCGUAGCCCAGUUCCACAACCCGCCUACUUGAACCAUCUGCCCGACCCAACUCUCUUUAAAUCCUAGCCUUUUGUUUCAUUUAUAAUUCUCAAAACCCUAAGCCUAAUAUCCUUAGUCAGUUGCACCCUGCCCUCUCCAAAACUCCGCCGCCGCCUACCACCCAAACCGCCGAAAAUUCCCAAAAAUCUAACCACCAACGUCGUCCCCUCCCCCUUGUCCAUGUGGCAUGAGACAUAACGACCCGAAUAUUCCCCAUUCUCUCAUCCUCGUCUCUCAGGUGAUUGAAGCCUCAAGAAGGUAUGUGCUAGAUGAAUGCAGAGUGUGGGAUUGAUUUCAAUUGAUCCCAGCCCUUCGUUCAUCAGGUGUUUGACUGACACAAGGGGGUUUUCCUAGUUAUUUCAUAUAUAAAAAUUGCAAGCUUCUUCAGUUUCUUUUUUACUUCAAAAAAUCAGAAAACAAAAAGAGAUUUCAGUUUCUCUUCUCUUUGAUUUUUGGUUUCAAAAAUGGAUUUCGCUUGAGGUAUUGAGAUUUGGUUCGAGUUCGUCGCCGUCGAGGUUCGGGCUCGUUGUUUCGGUUCGUGUUGCUGGAGUUUGUUUGACAUUUUUUUUGUGCCUCCUGUUGCUGCCUUCAUGUACAUCAAUUUUCAGAUAGCAAAUUAAUUAAAAUCUCAUUUUCAGAGAACAAGUGAUUAGCAUCAAUUUUGUGUGAAUCAGGGCAUCAAAUGUAACAUCGAGCUCGAUCGGUACAUAUUCUUGAUCUUAAACAUGUAAUGACUGGCUCAUGUGGUGUUUUGAAGAAAAGGAAGAUUGAUGUUUUUUAUCAGAUGUUUCCUUCUUUAUUUCUUUUCUCGCUCAACUUAUUGGUUCAAUUUCAUUGUCUUAGCAUGUCUAAAGUAAGGUUGUGCUGUGAACGUUGAGACCUACAUUGAAAUUGUAAUUGGACUGUUAUUCAGUACUUGCUGAUUUCCAUUUGUUUUAAUUCCCUAGGCUUUAUUAUUGUUAGAAGAGUUAAUCGAUUUUAAGUUCUCGGAUGUGUUUGUAAGUUCAGA